GACGAACGCUGGCGGCGUGCCUAAUACAUGCAAGUAGAACGCACAGUUUAUACCGUAGCUUGCUACACCAUAGACUGUGAGUUGCGAACGGGUGAGUAACGCGUAGGUAACCUGCCUGGUAGCGGGGGAUAACUAUUGGAAACGAUAGCUAAUACCGCAUAAUAUUAAUUAUUGCAUGAUAAUUAAUUGAAAGGUGCAAUUGCACCACUACCAGAUGGACCUGCGUUGUAUUAGCUAGUAGGUGAGGUAACGGCUCACCUAGGCGACGAUACAUAGCCGACCUGGGAGGGUGAUCGGCCACACUGGGACUGGGACACGGCCCAGACUCCUACGGGAGGCAGCAGUAGGGAAUCUUCGGCAAUGGACGGAAGUCUGACCGAGCAACGCCGCGUGAGGGAAGAAGGUUUUCGGAUCGUAAAGCUCUGUUGUAAGAGAAGAACGGGUGUGAGAGUGGAAAGUUCACACUGUGACGGUAUCUGACCAGAAAGGGACGGCUAACUACGUG
rnacentral:rRNA from 1 species